UACGGGGGGGGCAAGCGUUGUUCGGAAUUACUGGGCGUAAAGGGCGCGUAGGCGGUGUGUCAAGUCAGGCGUGAAAGCCCCGGGCUCAACCUGGGAACCGCGCUUGAGACUGGCACGCUCGAGUUCGGGAGAGGAUGGUGGAAUUCCCAGUGUAGAGGUGAAAUUCGUAGAUAUUGGGAAGAACACCGAUGGCGAAGGCAGCCAUCUGGACCGACACUGACGCUGAGGCGCGAAAGCCAGGGGAGCGAACGGG
rnacentral:rRNA from 1 species